AUUGAACGCUGGCGGCAUGCUUUACACAUGCAAGUCGAACGGUAACAGGCCGCAAGGUGCUGACGAGUGGCGAACGGGUGAGUAAUGCAUCGGAACGUGCCCAGUCGUGGGGGAUAACCAGCCGACAGGAUUGCUAAUACCGCAUACGAUCUGCGGAUGAAGGCGGGGGACCUUCGGGCCUCGCGCGCUUGUAGCGGCCGGUGUCAGAUUAGGUAGUUAGUGGGGUAAAGGCUCACCAGGCUAACGAUCUGUAGCUGGGGUGUGAGGACGACCAGCCAGACUGGGACGGAGACACGGACCAGACUCCUACGGGAGGCAGCAGUGGGGAAUUUUGGACAAUGGGCGAAAGCCUGAUCCAGCAAUGCCGCGUGCAGGAAGAAGGCCUUCGGGUUGUAAACUGCUUUUGUACGGAACGAAACGGCUCUGGUUAAUACCUGGGGCUAAUGACGGUACCGUAAGAAUAAGCACCGGCUAACUACGUGCCAGCCGCCGCAGUAA
rnacentral:rRNA from 1 species